AGUGAACGCUGGCGGCAGGCCUAAUACAUGCAAGUCGAACGGCAGCACAGCAGAGCUUGCUCUGUGGGUGGCGAGUGGCGGACGGGUGAGGAAUACGUGGGAAUCUGCCCAGUCGUGGGGGAUAACGUAGGGAAACUUACGCUAAUACCGCAUGCGCCCUUCGGGGGAAAGCCGGGGACCUUCGGGCCUGGCGCGAUUGGAUGAGCCCACGUCGGAUUAGCUAGUUGGCGGGGUAAAGGCCAACCAAGGCGACGAUCCGUAGCUGGUCUGAGAGGAUGAUCAGCCACACUGGAACUGAGACACGGUCCAGACUCCUACGGGAGGCAGCAGUAGGGAAUAUUGGACAAUGGGCGCAAGCCUGAUCCAGCCAUGCCGCGUGAGUGAAGAAGGCCCUCGGGUUGUAAAGCUCUUUUGUCCGGAAAGAAAAGCGCCGGGUUAAUACCCUGGUGUCCUGACGGUACCGGAAGAAUAAGCACCGGCUAACUUCGUGCCAGCAGCCGCCGUAAUAC
rnacentral:rRNA from 1 species